UGCUUUGAGAUUAAACUCCCGCAGCCAACGCAAACAAAGAGAGAAAAAACGAUCGGAAAGGGAACGGCCCCGGCAGAAUCGUGCCGCAAGCCAGCGCUGACGCCGCCUUCCGCCGUCCGGCGACCGCCGUCCGCGAAACGAAGUCGCGUCAUCUUCAAGCUUCAUCGCCGGCAUCGCCAAUUUCUCGCCCGAAGCCUGCUUCGCCGCCGCUCUCCACCCGGACGCAAGACCCAGCGCCGCCGCCGGCAUCACCGGAUCGAAGAGCAAAACGCGAAACGAAGCCCAAAAACGGAGAUACAACAGGUUACUGCUUGAUACACCAUCUAAAUUGAACCUGAGACAAGUGGGAGCCAUUCUACCAGACACUUUGCAAGAAUACUGACACUAUCAACACAUACAACAGCAUCAAGCAAAGGCAAUUCUAAAGACAACUAUGGCUGGAGGUUAGUCUUAUAUUGUUAAUGCUUACACUUACCUGCAAUUGUAACAGCAGCAGCGAGGCGGCGACCGACCAUCAGGCGGAGGUGGAAGCAUAAGCGGGGUGGAGGCAGAGUCGCAGACUCGUAUCCUUUUAAGCUGAGGGAUAUGGUUACAGAAGCUAUGCCAAAGUAUGAAGUGUAUUAUCAUUGGUCAAUAGAGUGAUCUUAGGAAAACAACUACUGACUUAUAUACAUAUAGGAAAAAGACGAAACAGACUGCACAUAUCAAAUGACAUAUGUGACACUGGACUUGAAAUAUGAUGCAGCCUUAGUUUCUUCUUCUCGAUACGACUUCACCAUGCUGCCCUCAAUCAGACAAGCAAUCAAUCAUGCGUAGAUCAGCUUUUGAUGUCUUCCAGUCUUCCUUUUUUCUUUGUCCAAGGAAAAGCAUGCGUUCAAUGCCUAGAAGUUAAGGCUUUACUUCUUAUUUGUCCAAGGAACAUUUAUUAGUAUGGAGGUUGUUGUCUGUGUGAGACAGCAGCAGAAACUAUUGGACAUUUGUUCUGUGAAUACCCAAUGGUUACUCAACUUUGGACUGGUUUUGAGGACUUGUUGGAUACCUGUGUUAGCUCUUGGACAAAAGCUUAUGUUUCUUCAUCUGUUUCGACACCUGUUGUUCCCAGUAAUGCUCCUCCACUCGGUUAUUUAAAAAUGUAAUGUCCACCGGAAAGAAGAGAGAUCACAUUUGAGUCACGGUCAAUCCAAAAGUCAAAUCUGCACGUGGCUCUUACGUUAAUUACAAAAAUGUCUCUGCCACACCUUAAUUACAAAAAUGUCACUGCCACACCUUAAGCGUCCGGUGUUUAAACUUCGGAUGCAUAUUCUUCACAUGUAUAUGAUUGAUUUUGUACUAGUCUGUCCUUGAUCGAUCAAUCGACAAUUAUUGUUAAAGUGAGGAAUUUGAUUUUUUAAGAAUUAUUUCUACAAAAUCUAUUAUUUGCUCGUGA